ensembl:lncRNA
GUCAAGGAGGUCUCCCUGCCUUCACUUUCCUCUGAGCUUUUUGUUUCAUCUGACCCUGCAGUUCUGAUGGACACUCCUAUACUACAGGGUCAGAGGGAUUCUGGGAUGGUGAACAUAUCCAUGUCAACAGAGGGAUGCACCCAAGAGCUGCAGGGACAGAAGCUCCUGCACUUGGGGCCCCUCCAGAUCUUGCCCUAUGUAUCUGUUCAUCUGGCUGUUGUUUUGCGUCCUUUAAAAUAUUCUUUGUAAAUCAGCAAAGGAAGUGUUCUAUUGUCCUGGGUCCUAUGAGCCCUGCAGCAAAUUGUAAACCCAAGAAGGGAGUAGUAGGACUCCACUUCCCCACAUCUGGUGUCAGAAAUAAAAUAAUGAGAGUGGUGUAAACACAGAAAGAAA